rnacentral:lncRNA from 1 species
CUAGGUCUCUAUCACUUAUAGUUUACCAGUUAGAAAUGCAUAUCACUGAUAUCAUAUAUAAAAGGGGGGAUAACUCUCAUAUGGAGUCUCCGGAUAGCUUCCGUUGAAAUGAAACAGAACAUCCUAAGGAUAUAACGAGCAAUUUGGAAAAAUAAAUUUGUCGGUUUCUUAUACGGUUGCGAAGUAGUAGUGGCCACAAGAAAAACAGUGUUUGGGGAGAUAACUCUUACAAGGUAAAGGUUUUUGUUACGCGGUGUCAGUUUCAGAAGCGCAUUAACUGUUCGAUAUCAUAUACCAAAUAUCUAAGCGACAUCUUGUGAAACAAAAAAACAGCGAAGGAAAAAAAAGUUGGCGGAAGAAAAAAAAAAAAAAAAAAUAAUAAUAAUCAGAACAAACCCUAUAGGUCUUUCAACUGAAAGGUUGAAAGACCUAAUAAUAAUAAUAAUCAGAACGAAUACAAUAGGUCUUUCACCUGAAAGGUUGAAAGACCUAAUAAUAAUUAAAAACCAAUUGUUCAAAGAACAAUUGAAGGUCUUUCAACCAAUAAGGAUCUAUUUUGAUAUGAAAAUAUUAAGAUUCAGUUGAAAAUGUCAGUUGCUAUGGCUUUAUGAUAUGAAAAUAUGAAUUUCGAGCAAAGGUCAAAAUCUAGAACGUCCAAUUAACCUAUGACCUUGACCCCAAUUUCAAGGUUAUAAACCAAGGAUCCCAAAUCAAAAGACCCUAGGUCAGUAGUAUGUAUGGUUCAUGAGUAAUAACACUUUACGCAUAAUUCUAAAUAUAAGAGGGGCAAAAACUCCCGUUUAUUGUCUACGCACCCUUCCAAUAAAAAAUUUUAAGUUACGACAUGUCGCAACUAACAAUUUAGUAAAAAGAAUUUGUCGAAAUCUUAUAAAGUUAAUGAGAAUAAGUGAAAAUAAGCCAAAAUCAAAAUUUAGAAUUUGACCUUCACCUUUGACCUUGACCUUAUUUUCUUUUUUUUGGACCAAGGAUCUUAAAUCAAAAGACCCUAGGUCUCUUUCACUUAUAGUUUACCAGUUAGAAAUGCAUAUCACUGAUAUCAUAUAUAAAAGGGGGAUAACUCUCAUAUUGAGUCUCCGGAUAGCUUCGGUUGAAAUGAAACAGAACAUCCUAAGGAUAUAACGAGCAAUUUGGAAAAAAAAAUUUGUCGGUUUCUUAUACGGUUGCGAAGGAGUAGUGGCCACAAGAAAAACAGUGUUUGGGGAGAUAACUCUUACAAGGUCAAGUUUUUUGUUACGCGGUGUCAGUUUCAGAAGCGUAUUAACUGUUCGAUAUCAUUUACCUUAUAUCUAAGCGAUAUCUUGUGAAACAAAAAAACAGCGAAGGAAAAAAAAGUUGGCGGAAG